rnacentral:rRNA from 1 species
UACGUAGGGCGCAAGCGUUGUCCGGAAUUAUUGGGCGUAAAGAGCUCGUAGGCGGUUUGGCGCGUCUGCGGUGAAAGCCCGGGGCUUAACCCCGGGUGUGCCGUGGGUACGGGCAGACUAGAGUGCAGGAGGGGAGACUGGAAUUCCGGGUGUAGCGGUGGAAUGCGCAGAUAUCAGGAGGAACACCGAUGGCGAAGGCAGGUCUCUGGGCUGUUACUGACGCUGAGGAGCGAAAGCAUGGGGAGCGAACAGG